rnacentral:lncRNA from 1 species
AUGCUUCCAUGGUUUCUCAUGUUGAAAUUUUUAAGCUCUUCACCCAGAGGAUUUUUAAGUAUCAAGGUCUGUGAUAAUUCAGUGACCACCAGGGGGCAACAGGACUUUUGGGUGCCCUGGCCAAUCAAGUCCACACUGAACAAGAGUUAUGAGCAUCUACUGCCCUACAAUUCUUACAAUGGAUGCUUGGAAAUGAAAAGAAUUGUGGUCUUUACCUUUUAGAAUGUCACUUUGAUGAAAACGUCUAUGGAAGAUACAUACAGUCUUUCAUCCCAAGUGAGUAAAGAAUCUUCUCAAGUUAAAUAUGGGUAUAGAUAUAUCUGAGCAUUGUUAUAAUAUGAAAGAAUCACUAUUCUGUAACUUCCUUUAAAAAACACUUCAUUAAGAUUUUAAUUUCUUAAAGUUGUUCUUUGAUAGCUCCUUUAAAGAAGUAAGGAACUAUUUAAGAUGAUUUGAUCAUACUUAGAAGAAAAGUGAAAAUAAAGGUUUAUGUAUUUUUAUAUGAAGAGUAUAUGCAUAUGUAUAUGUUGUAUGCAUGUACAUGUAAAAACACACAUAUUAGAAAUAAGUGUUGAAAUGAAAUAAGCCAGAGUACCAAAAUAAUUGUAAUUGAGUAGAUUUCUUCCACUCAAAUUGAAGCAGAUUCCAGUAAUUUUUCUUUCUUCUAUUUCACACAUUUAUUUUGGUAUUGGAUUAUAUUGGUUUUAUAUUUUUUAAAUUAUGUAAAGAUUUUUUAAUUAUCUUUGGUAGAAAAAAAUGCUGGCUUAAGCUAUUUCCUCACAUAAGUGCAGAGUGUUCUGGCAAACUUUAUAGCUUGAGCCUGUCAGAGUAACUUUUGACAUUAAGGACUAAGAUUAACCAGUGUUCCUGCUUGUGACCCAUUAUAUCCCUCUGCUCAUUAUAGAUACUAUACUAUGUUCCAGGUUUGUGGAGCUUCUGUUUCUUUAGUGUUUCUGUUCUGGUUCUGUUACUAACCAACCCUGUGGCCACAUAAGCUUAUGGAGUUCCCAUUGUUCAUUUAUAGCAUUAUGGAAGUGGAGUUCCCAUUGUUCAUUUAUAGAAUUAUGGAAGUAGACUAGAUUACCUAAGACCCAGUCCAAUGUCAACAUUAUAUAAUUAUAUUGUUUAACAAUGCUUACUUUGGAUUUCAACAAAUAUCAGUAUGUUUCCCUAGAAUAUUCAUCUAGAUAAUUGCUAAUCUUCAAUUUUAA